GACAGAGGGUGCAAGCGUUGUUCGGAAUUAUUGGGCGUAAAGCGCACGUAGGCGGUCUGUUAAGUCGGGUGUGAAAUCCCGGGGCUCAACCCCGGAAGUGCAUUCGAAACUAGCAGACUUGAGUCCCGGAGAGGGUGGCGGAAUUCCUGGUGUAGAGGUGAAAUUCGUAGAUAUCAGGAGGAACAUCCGUGGCGAAGGCGGCCAUCUGGACGGUGACUGACGCUGAGGUGCGAAAGCGUGGGGAGCAAACAGG
rnacentral:rRNA from 1 species